ACCAACAGGGAUUGCCCUAGUAACGGCGAGUUCAACAGGCAAGAGCUCAGAUUUGAAAGGCACUUUUGUGCCGUUGUAUUCUGAAGUUAGGGUCCUGAGAAACGAUGCUUAAGUCUUCUGGAAAGGAGCGCCAUGGAGGGUGAUAGCCCCGUCUAGCAUUGACCUCAUAUAGGAUCUUAACAUGGAGUCGAGUUGUUUGGGAAUGCAGCUCAAAUGGGUGGUAUGCUCCAUCUAAAGCUAAAUAUCUGCGAGAGACCGAUAGUAAACAAGUACUGUGAGGGAAAGAUGAAAAGAACUUUGAAAAGAGAGUGAAAAAGUACGUGAAAUUGUUGAAAUGGAAGGGUAGGCCGCUAACCAUGUAGAGCCGUGUUUGGGGGGAAGAUAAAUGCUGUAGAAUGUAGCUCCUCGGAGUAUUAUAGAUGCAGUUCAUAUUCCCACCCGAGCGCGAGGAUCUCAGGUUCUACUAAAUGGUGGUCUACCACCCGUCUGAAAACACGGACC
rnacentral:rRNA from 1 species